UUAAGCGACUAAGCGUACACGGUGGAUGCCCUGGCAGUCAGAGGCGAUGAAGGACGUGCUAAUCUGCGAUAAGCGUCGGUGAGGUGAUAUGAACCGUUAUAACCGGCGAUUUCCGAAUGGGGAAACCCAGUGUGUUUCGACACACUAUCAUUAACUGAAUCCAUAGGUUAAUGAGGCGAACCGGGGGAACUGAAACAUCUAAGUACCCCGAGGAAAAGAAAUCAACCGAGAUUCCCCCAGUAGCGGCGAGCGAACGGGGAGGAGCCCAGAGCCUGAAUCAGUGUGUGUGUUAGUGGAAGCGUCUGGAAAGGCGCGCGAUACAGGGUGACAGCCCCGUACACAAAAAUGCACAUAUUGUGAGCUCGAUGAGUAGGGCGGGACACGUGGUAUCCUGUCUGAAUAUGGGGGGACCAUCCUCCAAGGCUAAAUACUCCUGACUGACCGAUAGUGAACCAGUACCGUGAGGGAAAGGCGAAAAGAACCCCGGCGAGGGGAGUGAAAAAGAACCUGAAACCGUGUACGUACAAGCAGUGGGAGCCUCUUAAUGGGGUGACUGCGUACCUUUUGUAUAAUGGGUCAGCGACUUAUAUUCUGUAGCAAGGUUAACCGAAUAGGGGAGCCGAAGGGAAACCGAGUCUUAACUGGGCGUUAAGUUGCAGGGUAUAGACCCGAAACCCGGUGAUCUAGCCAUGGGCAGGUUGAAGGUUGGGUAACACUAACUGGAGGACCGAACCGACUAAUGUUGAAAAAUUAGCGGAUGACUUGUGGCUGGGGGUGAAAGGCCAAUCAAACCGGGAGAUAGCUGGUUCUCCACGAAAGCUAUUUAGGUAGCGCCUCGUGAAUUCAUCUCCGGGGGUAGAGCACUGUUUCGGCAAGGGGGUCAUCCCGACUUACCAACCCGAUGCAAACUGCGAAUACCGGAGAAUGUUAUCACGGGAGACACACGGCGGGUGCUAACGUCCGUCGUGAAGAGGGAAACAACCCAGACCGCCAGCUAAGGUCCCAAAGUCAUGGUUAAGUGGGAAACGAUGUGGGAAGGCCCAGACAGCCAGGAUGUUGGCUUAGAAGCAGCCAUCAUUUAAAGAAAGCGUAAUAGCUCACUGGUCGAGUCGGCCUGCGCGGAAGAUGUAACGGGGCUAAACCAUGCACCGAAGCUGCGGCAGCGACACUAUGUGUUGUUGGGUAGGGGAGCGUUCUGUAAGCCUGUGAAGGUGGCCUGUGAGGGUUGCUGGAGGUAUCAGAAGUGCGAAUGCUGACAUAAGUAACGAUAAAGCGGGUGAAAAGCCCGCUCGCCGGAAGACCAAGGGUUCCUGUCCAACGUUAAUCGGGGCAGGGUGAGUCGACCCCUAAGGCGAGGCCGAAAGGCGUAGUCGAUGGGAAACAGGUUAAUAUUCCUGUACUUGGUGUUACUGCGAAGGGGGGACGGAGAAGGCUAUGUUGGCCGGGCGACGGUUGUCCCGGUUUAAGCGUGUAGGCUGGUUUUCCAGGCAAAUCCGGAAAAUCAAGGCUGAGGCGUGAUGACGAGGCACUACGGUGCUGAAGCGACAAAUGCCCUGCUUCCAGGAAAAGCCUCUAAGCAUCAGGUAACAUCAAAUCGUACCCCAAACCGACACAGGUGGUCAGGUAGAGAAUACCAAGGCGCUUGAGAGAACUCGGGUGAAGGAACUAGGCAAAAUGGUGCCGUAACUUCGGGAGAAGGCACGCUGAUAUGUAGGUGAAGCGACUUGCUCGUGGAGCUGAAAUCAGUCGAAGAUACCAGCUGGCUGCAACUGUUUAUUAAAAACACAGCACUGUGCAAACACGAAAGUGGACGUAUACGGUGUGACGCCUGCCCGGUGCCGGAAGGUUAAUUGAUGGGGUUAGCGGUAACGCGAAGCUCUUGAUCGAAGCCCCGGUAAACGGCGGCCGUAACUAUAACGGUCCUAAGGUAGCGAAAUUCCUUGUCGGGUAAGUUCCGACCUGCACGAAUGGCGUAAUGAUGGCCAGGCUGUCUCCACCCGAGACUCAGUGAAAUUGAACUCGCUGUGAAGAUGCAGUGUACCCGCGGCAAGACGGAAAGACCCCGUGAACCUUUACUAUAGCUUGACACUGAACAUUGAGCCUUGAUGUGUAGGAUAGGUGGGAGGCUUUGAAGUGUGGACGCCAGUCUGCAUGGAGCCGGCCUUGAAAUACCACCCUUUAAUGUUUGAUGUUCUAACGUUGGCCCGUAAUCCGGGUUGCGGACAGUGUCUGGUGGGUAGUUUGACUGGGGCGGUCUCCUCCUAAAGAGUAACGGAGGAGCACGAAGGUUGGCUAAUCCUGGUCGGACAUCAGGAGGUUAGUGCAAUGGCAUAAGCCAGCUUGACUGCGAGCGUGACGGCGCGAGCAGGUGCGAAAGCAGGUCAUAGUGAUCCGGUGGUUCUGAAUGGAAGGGCCAUCGCUCAACGGAUAAAAGGUACUCCGGGGAUAACAGGCUGAUACCGCCCAAGAGUUCAUAUCGACGGCGGUGUUUGGCACCUCGAUGUCGGCUCAUCACAUCCUGGGGCUGAAGUAGGUCCCAAGGGUAUGGCUGUUCGCCAUUUAAAGUGGUACGCGAGCUGGGUUUAGAACGUCGUGAGACAGUUCGGUCCCUAUCUGCCGUGGGCGCUGGAGAACUGAGGGGGGCUGCUCCUAGUACGAGAGGACCGGAGUGGACGCAUCACUGGUGUUCGGGUUGUCAUGCCAAUGGCACUGCCCGGUAGCUAAAUGCGGAAGAGAUAAGUGCUGAAAGCAUCUAAGCACGAAACUUGCCCCGAGAUGAGUUCUCCCUGACCCUUUAAGGGUCCUGAAGGAACGUUGAAGACGACGACGUUGAUAGGCCGGGUGUGUAAGCGCAGCGAUGCGUUGAGCUAACCGGUACUAAUGAACCGUGAGGCUUAACCUU
rnacentral:rRNA from 1 species